GUGGGGAAUUUUGGACAAUGGGCGCAAGCCUGAUCCAGCAAUGCCGCGUGCAGGAAGAAGGCCUUCGGGUUGUAAACUGCUUUUGUACGGAACGAAAAGGCUCUGGUUAAUACCUGGGGCUCAUGACGGUACCGUAAGAAUAAGCACCGGCUAACUACGUGCCAGCAGCCGCGGUAAUACGUAGGGUGCAAGCGUUAAUCGGAAUUACUGGGCGUAAAGCGUGCGCAGGCGGGUUUGUAAGACAGGCGUGAAAUCCCCGGGCUCAACCUGGGAAGGGCGCUUGUGACUGCAAGGCUGGAGUGCGGCAGAGGGGGAUGGAAUUCCGCGUGUAGCAGUGAAAUGCGUAGAUAUGCGGAGGAACACCGAUGGCGAAGGCAAUCCCCCGGGCCUGCACUGACGCUCAUGCACGAAAGCGUGGGGAGCAAACAGGAUUAGAUACCCGAGUAGUCC
rnacentral:rRNA from 1 species